rnacentral:lncRNA from 1 species
UCCUUAAUAGGUUGGCCAUCAUUUACACUAAAAUCGUCCACAUUUGUCCAUUAGUACAAAAGAGCAUUAGAACAGCCUCCAUGUUAAGGAGACCUGGAAUCUAAGACAGGAAGCUGGGAAUUCCCUCUACGUUUAUCAUGGAGAAGUUCAAAAUUCCACGAAAUGCUGCUGUUGGGAGGGCACACUGUUGCUGAAUAGUAAAGCAGAGUUGUUACAUAGCAAAUUCAAGCAAGAGGAAAAACUAACAUGCAGAAUGAGGACAAGAGUUUUGAUAUAAAAGUUCAUGGAUUGCGAAUGAAAGCACUCAAAUAACAGAAUAAAAAAAAACAGGUUUGCUGGACAGUGAAGAAGGGGCAGAAUAUGCACUCAUGAAUGUGGAUUAUGAUUCAGCAUCUGGGCCUAAGUCUUUGAAGACAUGGAAAAAAUGUUGGAUCAGUGACCAUCCAUUUCCAGAUGUCAAGGGAAAUGUAUAUUUAGAUGGCAUGACACCCCAGUCCUGGAGCAUAUAUCACAUGGAGUCAGGCCCACUGGGGCUUUUGGAAAGAAAUGGAGAUCAUAUGAAAAAGUCAGAGUCAUCGUUAAAACUCAUGGCAUGUUACAACCCUUCAAGUUCUCAAAACACUACCACCCGAGAGCAGGAGAAAAACAAGUGCAUGAGGAGUCUGGAGUUCAACUUCUUUGUGCUGCUGACUUGCGUGGCAUCAAGACUUGGUUCUGCUAGAACUGAUCACAUAUCAAACAGCUUCAAAAAGCUGCAAAUUAUGCUCUAAAAACCAUGAGAGGUUGAGCAUCUGUCAGGGGGCACACAGCGCAUCUUUGCCAAAUGAGGAGUGGCCUUCAUCCACUCACAAUAUGUUUAUUUGCAACUCUGUGGAUUGCACUCAAUACUGUGUAAAGGUAAAUGAGAGUUAUCUGCAAUGCCU